rnacentral:tRNA from 1 species
GAAGAGUGUUUUUAAUUAAAGCACUCAUCUUUGUUGUGGGCGCAUAAAAAUGGCGUCGUUGUUUUUAUUUUUC